ACUCAAAUGAAUUGACGGGGGCCCGCACAAGCGGCGGAGCAUGUUGCUUAAUUCGACGCGACGCGAAGAACCUUACCAAGGUUUGACAUGGACCGAAAACCCGCAGAGAUGUGGGGUCCUUCGGGGCGGUUCACAGGUGGUGCAUGGCUGUCGUCAGCUCGUGUCGUGAGAUGUUGGGUUAAGUCCCGCAACGAGCGCAACCCUUGCCCCAUGUUGCCAGCACGUAGUGGUGGGGACUCAUGGGGGACUGCCGGGGUCAACUCGGAGGAAGGUGGGGACGACGUCAAGUCAUCAUGCCCCUUAUGCCUUGGGCUGCAAACAUGCUACAAUGGCCGGUACAGAGCGCUGCGACACCGUGAGGUGGAGCGAAUCGCGGAAAGCCGGCCUCAGUUCGGAUCGGGGUCUGCAACCCGGCCCCGUGAAGCCGGAGUCGCUAGUAAUCGCGGAUCAGCAACGCCGCGGUGAAUACGUUCCCGGGCCUUGUACACACCGCCCGU
rnacentral:rRNA from 1 species